rnacentral:rRNA from 1 species
GUGGGGAAUAUUGGACAAUGGGCGCAAGCCUGAUCCAGCCAUGCCGCGUGAGUGAUGAAGGCCUUAGGGUUGUAAAGCUCUUUUAUCCGGGACGAUAAUGACGGUACCGGAGGAAUAAGCCCCGGCUAACUUCGUGCCAGCAGCCGCGGUAAUACGAAGGGGGCUAGCGUUGCUCGGAAUCACUGGGCGUAAAGGGCGCGUAGGCGGCGUUUUAAGUCGGGGGUGAAAGCCUGUGGCUCAACCACAGAAUGGCCUUCGAUACUGGGACGCUUGAGUAUGGUAGAGGUUGGUGGAACUGCGAGUGUAGAGGUGAAAUUCGUAGAUAUUCGCAAGAACACCGGUGGCGAAGGCGGCCAACUGGACCAUUACUGACGCUGAGGCGCGAAAGCGUGGGGAGCAAACAGGAUUAGAUACCCCAGUAGUCC